rnacentral:rRNA from 1 species
AGGACGAACGCUGGCGGCGUGCUUAACACAUGCAAGUCGAGCGGAAAGGCCCUUCGGGGUACUCGAGCGGCGAACGGGUGAGUAACACGUGAGUAACCUGCCCUGGACUUUGGGAUAACCCUCGGAAACGGGGGCUAAUACCGGAUAUGACCUGUCACUGCAUGGUGGUGGGUGGAAAGUUUUUCGGUCUGGGAUGGGCUCGCGGCCUAUCAGCUUGUUGGUGGGGUGAUGGCCUACCAAGGCGACGACGGGUA